rnacentral:tRNA from 3 species
UUAACUGAGGCUAAAUAGAAGCACUUCACUGUUAAUGGAGAAAUUGAAAUUAAAAUCCAGUUAAA